rnacentral:lncRNA from 1 species
GAUACAGCCAGUACCAGUGUUCAGCAGUCAAGGACAAAGAGAGAGAAGAAAGAGGUGUUUACUGUUGGUGAAAAAGUUGAAGCAUUGUGGGUGGAUAAGAAGCCACAGUUAACUGAGUGGUAUGCGGCUGUGAUUCAGGCAGUAGUUGUAACUGGUGAAUCAUACAGAGUAAGGUUUUUGGAUGACAACAUCAUUAAAAUUGUCAAGUUGAACCAUCUAAGAAAAGUUUAAAUGGACUUCUGUG